rnacentral:misc_RNA from 1 species
CUAGUACGGUAUCCGAAACUGCAGUAGACGACUUGACCAGUCCCCCGUCUCACAACAACAACAUGGCGUGGGGGGAUACGUUGGUGGUCGCCAAGACUCGUGAGCUUGUUAUUGUCUUGUUAUUGUGUGCCUCGACCCUUUCUCUUGACAUUGACCACAAUGGCUACAUUCUCUACUGCCCCUGUAUGGGCCGAUUUGGAAAUCAAGCUGACCAUUUCCUAGGAGCUCUUGGAUUUGCCAAGGGUGUGAACCGAACGCUUGUGUUGCCACCAUGGGUUGAGUACAAGCCAGGAGUUACAAGAUCGAUCCAGAUCCCAUUUGAUACAUAUUUCAAAGUGGAGCCUCUUGCUAAGUUUCAUCGUGUCAUGACCAUGCAGGAAUUCAUGGACAAAAUUGCACAGACUAUCUGGCCACCAGAGAUGAGAAUUGCUUUCUGCUAUGUACCUCGACACAACUCUAUUGGCUGCAAUGCAAAAGAGGGUAAUCCUUUUGGACCUUUCUGGGAUACAUUCGAUGUAGAUUUUGUUGGUUCGGAAUUUUAUCGUGGUCUCAGCUAUGAUGUCCACUACCAGAAUAUGGCUGAGCAGUGGAAUGAUCUCUACCCAGCACAGAAAUGGCCUGUGUUGGCCUUCACUGGUGCCCCAGCAACUUUUCCAGUUCAAGAAAGUAAUAGGCACUUGCACAAAUAUCUUGUCUGGAGUGACAGUAUACUAAGUAAAGCUCAGCGGGUUAUUUCCUCAUUGCCAAGAGGGCCAUUUAUUGGUAUACAUCUUCGAAAUGGAAUAGACUGGGUGCGUGCGUGCGAGCACGUGGAACACAGUCCGAACCUUUUCUCAGCGCCUCAGUGUUUGGGAUACAGGAAUGAGCAUGGAACAACAACAUUGGAACUUUGCCUUCCUUCAGAAAAUACAAUUAUUAAGAAGUUAAAGCGUGUUACUAAAUCCAUUGGUGCAAAAAGUGUUUUUGUUGCAUCAGACAAUGAUUUUAUGGUUGGCAAGCUCACUCAAGCAUUAAGAAAGAUGAAAGUGAGCGUCCACCACGGAGACCCUUCUGAGCCCCAUGUAGAUCUGGCCAUCCUUGCUCGUGCCAAUCAUUAUAUUGGCAACUGUGUAUCAUCUUUCUCUGCUUUUGCCAAGCGAGAGCGAGAUGUUAUGGGUUUUCCCUCAUCCUUUUGGGCCUUCCCAAUUGAGAAAGAAAAGACAAAGAAAUACGAGCAUAGUGAGCUAUAGCAUUAAUGAAGUUCUGGAACACCUUUAUAAGUUAAAAAUAUUUUGAGAACUAAUUGUAUUUACCAUUUGCAGUGUCAGUGUAUUUACAGUUAUUUAAAUACAGCAUUGUGAGAUGUCAUUGCCAUCAGUGUGAGGUGUCAGCACCACCAGUGUGAGAUGUCAUUGCCAUUAUUGUAUGGUGUCAGCACCAUCAGUGUGAGGUGUCAGCACCACCAGUGAGAGAUGUCAGCACCACCAGUGUGAGAUGUCAGCACCAUCAGUGUGAGCUGUCAGCACCACCAGUCAAGAGGUGUCAGCACCACCAGUGUGAGGUGUCAGCACCACCAGUGUGAGGUGUCAGCACCACCAGUGUGAGGUGUCAGCACCACCAGUGUGAGGUGUCAGCACCACCAGUGUGAGGUGUCAGCCCCACCAGUGUGAGGUGUCAGCCCCACCAGUGUGAGGUGUUGGCACCAUCAGUACAUUUGUAACAUGAAGAUGUCACCUAACAGUAUUGUGGCGAGUCUUGCCACUAAUAUACUGUGGCCAGCAUCAUGGGCUCUGGCCCUCUAUGUAUCAACUUUAAUUCCACUCGAGCCAAUAACAUUUUAUCAGUAUAUAAAAAAAACACAUGUACAAUUAUUUAUUUUUAAAUACAAAUCAUUAAUUAUU